rnacentral:rRNA from 1 species
UUUGUGACUGAGUGGCGGACGGGUGAGUAACGCGUGGGUAACCUGCCUUGUACAGGGGGAUAACAGUUGGAAACGGCUGCUAAUACCGCAUAAGCGCACAGCAUCGCAUGAUGCAGUGUGAAGAACUCCGGUGGUAUAAGAUGGACCCGCGUUGGAUUAGCUAGUUGGCAGGGUAACGGCCUACCAAGGCGACGAUCCAUAGCCGGCCUGAGAGGGUGGACGGCCACAUUGGGACUGAGACACGGCCCAGACUCCUACGGGAGGCAGCAGUGGGGAAUAUUGCACAAUGGGGGAAACCCUGAUGCAGCGACGCCGCGUGAGCGAAGAAGUAUUUCGGUAUGUAAAGCUCUAUCAGCAGGGAAGAAAAUGACGGUACCUGACUAAGAAGCCCCGGCUAACUACGUGCCAGCAGCCGCGGUAAUACGUAGGGGGCAAGCGUUAUCCGGAUUUACUGGGUGUAAAGGGAGCGUAGACGGAAUGGCAAGUCUGAUGUGAAAGGCCGGGGCUCAACCCCGGGACUGCAUUGGAAACUGUCAAUCUAGAGUACCGGAGGGGUAAGUGGAAUUCCUAGUGUAGCGGUGAAAUGCGUAGAUAUUAGGAGGAACACCAGUGGCG